rnacentral:tRNA from 1 species
GGAGAGGUGGCAGAGUGGUCGAAUGUACCUGAUUCGAAAUCAGGCGUGCGGUUACCCGCACCGAGGGUUCGAAUCCCUCCCUCUCCGCCA